rnacentral:rRNA from 1 species
AACGAACGCUGGCGGCGCGUCUUAAGCAUGCAAGUCGAACGGCAAGAUUGGUGCUUGCACUAAUCCUAGAGUGGCGGACUGGUGAGUAACGCGUGGGUGACGUACCCUUUGGAUGGGGAUAGCCGAUAGAAAUAUCGGGUAAUACCGAAUAAGCUCCUGCAGGUCAGAGUGGCAGGAGGAAAGCAACUUCGGCUGCACCGAAGGAACGGCCCGCGUACUAUUAGUUAGUUGGUGGGGUAAAGGCCUACCAAGGCGAUGAUAGUUAUCCGGCCUAAGAGGGUGAACGGACACAUUGGGACUGAGAUACGGCCCAG